GCCCGACUAGCUCAGUUGGUAGAGCAUGAGACCCUUAAUCUCAGGGUCGUGGGUUCAAGCCCCAUGUUGGGCG
rnacentral:tRNA from 1 species